rnacentral:misc_RNA from 1 species
AACCAUAGAAACCUGCGGAGUACCUGCGGAGGGAUCAUUAUAGGAAAAAUAUCACCAUACAAGAUGUGUGUGGGUUUGGUGGGUGGAAGAAAAGACUGUGUGGGGUUUCAUACUCUGCACUUUUUCCCUCACUUUUCCUGCAUAUAUCUUCAAACAAAUUAUCGCAACUAUAGUAGGAUAUGAGAGGAAGAAGAAGAAAUGGCUUGGUAAAAAAAGUGGGGGCUGUUUGGUUGGUUGGUU